UAACGUAGCUAACGCGUGAAGUCAGCCGCCUGGGGAGUACGGUCGCAAGAUUAAACUCAAAGGAAUUGACGGGGACCCGCACAAGCGGUGGAUGAUGUGGAUUAAUUCGAUGCAACGCGAAAAACCUUACCUACCCUUGACAUGUCACUAACGAAGUAGAGAUACAUUAGGUGCCCGUAAGGGAAAGUGAACACAGGUGCUGCAUGGCUGUCGUCAGCUCGUGUCGUGAGAUGUUGGGUUAAGUCCCGCAACGAGCGCAACCCUUGUCUUUAGUUGCUACGCAAGAGCACUCUAAAGAGACUGCCGGUGACAAACCGGAGGAAGGUGGGGAUGACGUCAAGUCCUCAUGGCCCUUAUGGGUAGGGCUUCACACGUCAUACAAUGGUGCAUACAGAGGGUUGCCAACCCGCGAGGGGGAGCUAAUCUCAGAAAAUGCAUCGUAGUCCGGAUCGUAGUCUGCAACUCGACUACGUGAAGCUGGAAUCGCUAGUAAUCGCGGAUCAGAAUGUCGCGGUGAAUACGUUCCCGGGUCUUGUACACACCGCCCGUCAUACCAUGGGAGUGGGUUUUACCAGAAGCCGUUAGCCUAACCGCAAGGAGGGCGACUGCCACGGCAGGGUUCAUGACUGGGGUAAAGUCGUAACAAGGUAGCCGUAUCGGAAGGUGC
rnacentral:rRNA from 1 species